rnacentral:lncRNA from 1 species
AGUACAGGAACAUAACACACACAGUAAAUUUGACAAAUUUACAUUUUAAGGUCUGGACCAUCUGCACUGUGAAGAUUCAGAGUACUCAAUCCAUGAAGCCGGAUGCCUCCAAAGUUCCAAUCUGGGGAAAGCUAUGGUAUCUGCCUAGUGACUCACCAAGAAAGGAAUGGAUAAAGAAAACAAGGUAUGUGUACAAAAUGGAAUAUCAAUUUGCAGAGAAAUAGAUGGAACUAAUGGACAUUAUGUUUAAUAAAUCAGACACAAAAACUUUAUCACAUGUUCUAUAUCAUAUGUAAAAGCUAAAAGAAAAAUAACCUUAAUGUGGACUAGUGAUGAAUUGAGGUUUGGAGAGUUAAAGUGAAAGAAAGCUGGAUUUGACUAUGUGACUAUAUGACUUUAUGACUUUAUGAUUAUGUGACUAGUGUGCUAUAUGUAUAUGUUGAAAUGUUAUACAGAAUUGCAUUUACACAUACAAUUAAUACAUCUUAAUCCAAACAAUUAGAUAUAGAAACAUACUCUUAUGUGCAUGGCCCAUUAGCACCUUUUGUCAUCAUUAGAAUGUAAACCUCUUACUA